GUCCCUUAGUGGCCACGCAGGUCAGCCCUAUUCAGUGUGGGAGGUGGCUAAACACGGGUGCAAAUGCCAGAAGGUGGGGGACGACAGAGGGCCAUCUUGGAGGCUGGCUACUACAGGAUUUCACUGUACAAGGAGAGCGAGCCAAUGGGGUCAGUAGGGGCUGAACUUCGGUGUUCUCAUGUAGGGCGGCAUCCUCACUGAGCCCCACACAGGCUGAAGACAGCUCUGCCAGCGUGCUCUGGCUGUCUCUUGGCUGUCCAUCUUGCCUUUCCUUCAAGGGACACCUGGGAGUCGCUCAGAGAGUAGGACCCAGGCAUCAACGGUUGCCGUCAUCAUAACCACCAGGCACGGCCCUUCGUGGUUUAUAAAGCGCCAGCAUCUCUGCUGGAAAACAUCGUGCAAGCACCAUGGCGGUUCUACAACGUACAGACGAGAGAAGAGGUGCAGAGACGCGAAGUGACUCACCUGAGGCCACACAGAAAAGGCUUGGCAAAACUGGACCUCUGGCUCCUGACCCGACAUUCUUUCCACUGCCCUGCCCAGCCGCCAGCUCAGACCCACGUCUCCUAACGCCCAUCACAAGCUUCAUUUCCGUCCUGAGCAGCUAGCAACGAGGCAGGGGGAGGCUGCGACCUAAUCCUGACUUGAACCUCAGCUGUGGGCGGGAACUUGUCUGGAGGCUCCACAGACAUACUCCCGGUAGUGGUGGGUAUUCAGCAGUUCAGAACCGCAGAACCUCUGGAUCCAAUAUUUCCACUUCCAGGAAGAAGAAAUCAGAAACACCAAUUCCAAAGGUUACAUGCACCCCUCUGGUCACAGCAGCAUUAUUUACAACAGCCAAGAUAUGGAAGCAGCCCCAGUGUCCAUCGGCAGAUGGAUGGAUAAAGAAGAUGUUGUGUAUGUACAAAGCACGUUACUCGGCCAUAAAAUGAAAAGAGCAAAACCUUGCCCUUUGCAACGACAUGAAUGGAGUUAGAGGGUAUGAUGCUAAAUGAAAUAAGUCAUACAAAGUCAA